rnacentral:rRNA from 1 species
UACGGGGGGGACAAACGUUGUUCGGAUUUACUGGGCGUAAAGGGCGUGUAGGUGGACUUUUAAGUCGGUUGUGAAAUCCCGGGGCUUAACCCCGGGUCUGCAUUCGAUACUAUUGGUCUUGAGUGCGAGAGAGGAAAGCGGAAUUCCAGGUGUAGCGGUGGAAUGCGUAGAUAUCUGGAAGAACACCGGUGGCGAAGGCGGCUUUCUGGCUCGACACUGACGCUGAGGCGCGAAGGCCGGGGGAGCAAAC